rnacentral:lncRNA from 1 species
CCCAGGACUUCUACUUCAACAACAAAUGUGGUUUUGGUUCCAAAUAAUCCAUAGUUAUAUUCAAAUACCUCCGUUUUGUUCGUGCGUUCAGGUCACUAUCCGAAGGGUAACGCGUGAGCGCAUUUCGUGACAAUUUUUUCUAAAAUAUUCCAUUACCGUACUUAGAAGCAUGUCAAACGCUGUUUAACCUGUUAGGGCUAGGGGGCAGUAUUGACACGGCUGGAUAAAAAAACGUACCCGAUUUAAUCUGGUUACUACUCCUGCCCAGUAACUAGAAUAUGCAUAUAAUUAUUGGCUUUGGAUAGAAAACACUCCAAAGUUUCUAAAACUGUUUGAAUAGUGUCUGUGAGUAUAACAGAACUCAAAUGGCAGGUCAAAACCUGAGAAGAUUCUGUACAGGAAGUACCCUGUCUGACCAUUUCUUGGCCUUCUUUGCCAUCUCUAUCCAUUACAAAGGAUCUCUGCUGUUACGUGACACUUCCUACGGCUGCGAUAGGCUCUCAGAAGGCGGCAAAAAGCUGAAUCGUGGCUUUGCAGGCUCUGGCUGAAAAAAAGUAGCGCGUUUGGGUAGUGGCUGGUUACAGUACUGUGAGACUCAGGCGCGUGCCCGCGUCGACCGAAUGCUUUGUUUUCUUUCCUCUGUUUACCUAAACGGAGAUUCCCGGGCGGAAUAUUAUCGCUUUUUUACGAGAAAAAUGGCAUAAAAAUGGAUUUUAAACAGCGGUUGACAUGCUUCGAAGUACGGUAAUGGAAUAUUUAUACAUUUUUUGUCACGAAUUGCGCCAUGCUCGUAACCCUGAUUUACCAUUUCGGAUAGUGUCUGGAACGCACGAACAAAACGCAGCUAUUUGGAUAUAACGAUGGAUUAUUUUGGACCAAACCAACAUUUGUUAUUGAAGUAGCAGUCCUGGGAGUGCAUUCUGACGAAGACAACAAAGAGGGAGAGAAACCAAAAGUCCACCAUCGCCUCAUGGGUUUCCCAGUCGCGGCUGGCAUGGGUAUCGUACCAGCAUCUGUAGCAACGCAGUUUGCACUGCAAUGCAGUGUCUUAGACCGCUGCGCCACUCUGUUAGGAAAAUAUGGCCUGUACAACGUGACCGUUUCCACACCCUAAUCACAGUCAGAAGACAGUUGAAGAAACUUGUGUGGACUUAUGGAAAGGCUCGGCCCAGAUCAAAGCUGUCGAGACAUUCAAUGACGUCAUCUUCACAGACUAAUCAACUCUGGCCCUUGAGCAAUUUGCUCAAAAUUGCUACAGAAAAAAGGAAGAAGAUCAAGCAAGCCGAUUCCCAAGCAUCUGCUCAAACUCCAUGUGUGGGGGGCAAUUUCUCGCCAGAGACCAGGCCCAUAUUUGAUUUGAUGGUAUCAUGGCUCGAGAUUUUUUUGAGGAAGAAAUCAUCAAGAGAUAUGCUGGACCCUAUGUCCGAGAGGUAUUUCUGGGACUACAUUGUUUCUUUCAAGUUGGGAUUAUAGCAAUAUUUUGUUAUGUUUAGGCCUAUUUACAUGUAUAUUUCUAGUAUUGUACCUAAUGUUGGCUGUUAGGCUAAAAGUAUUUUUUUCUUCUACAAAUGCAGACAAUGACCCAAAACACACUGCCUCCUGGGUUUGCAUUGCAAAUGAGGGCUUUUACCCGCGGUCAUGGAGCUGGGUGGAAGUGCAACUAAAAUGUAGUUUAAAUAAACAUCUGCAUUUUGAAUGUCUUUUUUGUCGUUAUUUUAUUAUCGAAAGCAUAAAGAUGUUGAUGAAGAAAUACUGUACUGCUGUUUUGAGUUAGAAAUGUAACACUUUAGAGUACUUAAGCAUUGAAUAAAAGUUGGGGG